AAAGAUUCAUUUCCAGGGCAGUAGGAGGACUAAGGAAAAGAUAUCUCUAGUCAUAGUUAAAAGACUGGAAAAUAAACUCGACGGUAAACUAUAGGCAAGAACUCUGAAAAAUUACCCCUUGUGACAUCAACAUAUACAACAUAUUUUUUAUGAAGACAGCACCAAAUAUAAGACUGAAAAUUCCAAGAGGUAGCAUGGUGUAAAGCAGCACUUUCCAAAACUUAAUGAGAAUCUGAAUCACCUGGAGGACUUGUUAAAACGCAGCUUCUGAUUCAGUAAAUCUGGGAUGGGGCUGGGGAUUCUGCAUUUUAAACAAACUUCCAGGUGAGGAUGCAGCUCCUGUGGACCCAAGGACCACACAAGGGGAAGGAAAGUUCGUCAAGUUAGAGGUUUUGAGUAGAACAGUUAUCAAGAUAGAAAGAUAGAAAAUAUCCCUGUUCUCAAGGAUCUUGUAUACUAAUGAGGAGGAUAAAACAACGAAACUAAGAAAGUGGUAAGUGCUAUGAAGACAAGUAAACAGCGCAGCAUGAAGAUAACACAAUAAGUUAAAGCUACAGAAGAGAAGGAGUGCCACUCACAGUGUUAAAGGUAGACCCCACUAAGAAAAUGACAUUGAGCAGAGACUUGUAUGGUAAGAAGAAAAUGUGCAGAUGAACAUCUGAAACAGAGCGUUCUAGGCAAAGGGAAUGGCAAAGGCAAAGGCCAUUUUGAUGAGGCGGGAACAAAUGUGAUGUCUUUGAAGACUAGGAAAGGCUACUGCAGCUGAACACAGAAGACUCAGGGCGAUCCCAGCAGAGGGCUACUGGAAACCAAAGAAGAUGAGACAUGUCAAUUGCUGAUGAGAAGGAUCAAGUCUAAACCCGUUUGCAUGGAAUGCAUCGCCUCUCAAUACUACAACCUAACUUUCUAGCUUUCCUUCCUGCAGCUUCUCCCACAGCUCAUUCUUCUAGUCUAGCUAAACUUUUCUCUAUUCCUGUAACAGACCGUGCUUUAAAUGUGUAAGUCAUUGUCCAUGCUGUUGAUCCCAUCUGGAAUACCACAUCCCUUCAUGAAUGCCUGCUAAACUCCAAUUCAUCUUCUAAGUCUCUGAAUAAAUAUCUUCUUUGAAAUCUUGUGAUUCUCUCCUCAGAACUAUCUCUGGGUUCUCUCAGUUCCCUUGGCAUGUUAUACAUACCUUCUUUGUAGCAUUUAUCACACUGUAUUUUCCUUACUUGUUCUCAUGUCCAAGUAGCUCAGGAUCAGAGACAGUGUUGUAUGCAAUUUUAAAUACUCAGGAUCUAUCAUUAUUAUGCCUGGAGUGUAUUAGGCCCUCAAUAUGCUUUUACUAUACAAAUGAUCAGCAUAUCUAAUGCCUUUUUCCAAUGCUAUUUUAUUGAGCUAAGUUUUAAUAGCUGAUAGAUCUACUAAGGUCAUAAUCUUAAAUAUAUUAUAAAUACAUUAGGACAAGUCAUCUAUGUUAUGUGCUAAAACGAGUAAUGUUAGCUUU
rnacentral:lncRNA from 1 species